rnacentral:rRNA from 1 species
GGAGAGUCGAAGUAACCAGGUGGCUGGAACUGUUUAUUAAAAACACAGCACUGUGCAAAAUCGAAAGAUGACGUAUACGGUGUGACGCCUGCCCGGUGCCGGAAGGUUAAUUGAUUGGGUUAUCUUCGGAGAAGCUCAUGAUCGAAGCCCCGGUAAACGGCGGCCGUAACUAUAACGGUCCUAAGGUAGCGAAAUUCCUUGUCGGGUAAGUUCCGACCUGCACGAAUGGCGUAAUCAUGGCCACACUGUCUCCACCCGAGACUCAGUGAAAUUGAAAUUGCGGUUAAGAUGCCGUAUACCCGCGGCUAGACGGAAAGACCCCGUGAACCUUUACUAUAGCUUGACAGUGAACAUUGCUCCUACAUGUGUAGGAUAGGUGGGAGACUAUGAAACCAUGUCGCCAGAUGUGGUGGAGUCUACCUUGAAAUACCACCCUUGUAUGCGUGAUGUUCUAACCUAGGGCCCUAAUCGGGCUUGGGGACACUGUCUGGUGGGUAGUUUGACUGGGGCGGUCUCCUCCUAAAGAGUAACGGAGGAGCACGAAGGUUGGCUAAGUACGGUCGGACAUCGUACGGUUAGUGCAAUGGCAUAAGCCAGCUUAACUGCGAGACAGACACGUCGAGCAGGUACGAAAGUAGGUCAUAGUGAUCCGGUGGUUCUGUAUGGAAGGGCCAUCGCUCAACGGAUAAAAGGUACUCCGGGGAUAACAGGCUGAUACCGCCCAAGAGUUCAUAUCGACGGCGGUGUUUGGCACCUCGAUGUCGGCUCAUCACAUCCUGGGGCUGAAGUCGGUCCCAAGGGUAUGGCUGUUCGCCAUUUAAAGUGGUACGCGAGCUGGGUUUAGAACGUCGUGAGACAGUUCGGUCCCUAUCUGCCGUGGGCGUUUGAGAAUUGAAGAGGGCUGCUCCUAGUACGAGAGGACCGGAGUGGACGAACCGCUGGUGUUCGGGUUGUUAUGCCAAUAGCAUUGCCCGGUAGCUACGUUCGGAACUGAUAACCGCUGAAAGCAUCUAAGCGGGAAGCAGGCUUUGAGAUGAGUUCUCACUGGAGCUUUAAGCUCCCUAAAGGGUCGUUGGAGACUACAACGUUGAUAGGUUGGGUGUG